rnacentral:rRNA from 1 species
AACGAACGCUGGCGGCAUGCCUAACACAUGCAAGUCGAACGAGACCUUCGGGUCUAGUGGCGCACGGGUGCGUAACGCGUGGGAAUCUGCCCUUGGGUUCGGAAUAACAGCGAGAAAUUGCUGCUAAUACCGGAUGAUGACGUAAGUCCAAAGAUUUAUCGCCCAAGGAUGAGCCCGCGUAGGAUUAGCUAGUUGGUGAGGUAAAGGCUCACCAAGGCGACGAUCCUUAGCUGGUCUGAGAGGAUGAUCAGCCACACUGGGACUGAGACACGGCCCAGACUCCUACGGAGGCAGCAGUGGGGAAUAUUGGACAAUGGGACGAAAGCCUGAUCCAGCAAUGCCGCGUGAGUGAUGAAGGCCUUAGGAUUGUAAAGCUCUUUCACCGAUGAAGAUAAUGACGGUAGU